GUCUACUCCGAACUCCUACUACAAAUGGUCUACUCCGAGCUUCUAUUACAAGCGACCUACUCCAAAUUUCUACUACGAGUGGUCCACGUCGGAUCUCUACUGUAAGCCUCCAUCCGAGCUUCUAUUGUGAACGAAUUCCUUUCGGACUCCUAUCGCAGGCGGGCUUCAACCGAGCUUCUUCAAUAAACGAUCUCCAUCCGGACUUCUAUG
rnacentral:lncRNA from 1 species